ACCGUAAAAAAGGGGAGCCCGCCGUGGGCUGAGAGGAAGCAUCGCUUCGACCCGGGACCUGAUUUGGAUCAUGCCAACGUAGGGAAAUAGGCGCGGAAAACC
rnacentral:ncRNA from 1 species